CCUACGUGAGGCUGCAGUGAGGAAUAUUGGUCAAUGGGAGAGAUCCUGAACCAGCCAAGCCGCGUGAGGGAAGACGGCCCUAUGGGUUGUAAACCUCUUUUGUCGGAGAACAAAACCCGGGACGAGUCCCGGACUGCGUGUAUCCGAAGAAAAAGCAUCGGCUAAAUCCGUGCCAGCAGCCGCGGUAAUACGGAGGAUGCGAGCGUUAUCCGGAUUUAUUGGGUUUAAAGGGUGCGUAGGCGGUCUGUUAAGUCAGCGGUAAAAUUGCGGGGCUCAACCCCGUCGAGCCGUUGAAACUGGCAGACUUGAGUUGGCGAGAAGUACGCGGAAUGCGCGGUGUAGCGGUGAAAUGCAUAGAUAUCGCGCAGAACUCCAGUGGCGAAAGCGGCUCUCUGGUCUGUAACUGACGCUGAGGUUCGAAAGCGUGGGUAGCAAACAGGAUUAGAUACCCGUGUAGUC
rnacentral:rRNA from 1 species